AUACGGAGGGUGCAAGCGUUAUCCGGAAUCAUUGGGUUUAGAGGGUCCGUAGGCGGACUAAUAAGUCAGGGGUGAAAUCCCACAGCUUAACUGUGGAACUGCCUUUGAUACUGUUAGUCUUGAGUUAUAUGGAAGUAGAUAGAAUGUGUAGUGUAGCGGUGAAAUGCUUAGAGAUUACACAGAAUACCGAUUGCGAAGGCAGUCUACUACAUAUAUACUGACGCUAAUGGACGAAAGCGUGGGGAGCGAACAGGAUUAGAAACCCUAGUAGUCC
rnacentral:rRNA from 1 species